UACGUAGGUGGCAAGCGUUGUCCGGAUUUAUUGGGUUUAAAGGGUGCGUAGGCGGCUUAAUAAGUCAGUGGUGAAAGCCGAUCGCUUAACGAUCGAACUGCCAUUGAUACUGCUAGGCUUGAGUAUAGUUGAGGUAGGCGGAAUUGACAGUGUAGCGGUGAAAUGCAUAGAUAUUGUCAAGAACACCAAUUGCGAAGGCAGCUUACUAAAGUAUAACUGACGCUGAGGCACGAAAGUGCGGGGAUCAAAACAGGG
rnacentral:rRNA from 1 species